rnacentral:piRNA from 1 species
UCCAGUGUCAUGUAUGUCCUGUUCUCUAC